ensembl:snRNA U6 U6 spliceosomal RNA
AUGCUCACUUCGGCAGCACAUGUGCUAAAGUUGGAAUGAUACAGAGAAGAUUAGCAUGGCCCCUGAGCAAGAAUGACAUGCAAAAUCAUGAAGUGUUCCAUGUUUUU